CUGGGGAGGCAGUGUGGCUGUCAGACACAGUCUGCUCCAAAUGGGGCUGGCUACUGCCUAAGUGAGCAGGAGGAACUCCUGGACAGGGCACAUGAGCCCUCUUACCCAGGACACAGCCUGCAUGUGAGUUUAAAGCCCCAUCUGUGAAAACGUUCCUGUCCAGAUGUGGCCUCUGGGUAAGAAAGGGAACAUCUGCAGGGUGUGUUUACUGAACGUGAGUGUGGAUCUUGUAUCAAGCUGGCCUGGAACCUACUAUGUAGACUAGACUAGAUCUGAACUCAGAGAUCUGCCUGUUUCUGCCUCCCUGAAUGCUUAAAGCAUAUCACUGUACCCAGCAGAACUGGGCACUUUGAAAGGGUAAACUGUGUGCCGUGAAAAUUAGCUCCACCAACUGCUCAAAACAAAAUCCAGGAAGAGCCGUAGGAGCCUGGGAGCCCUGCAAGUGGUGACCCUGCAGUGUGCAGCCGGCGGCAGAGGCCACGGCCACACCUUCCACAGCUCUGUAAUCCUAUUACUACUUCUGUGUAUGAGGAAUGAAGUUUUCAAAGAUCGCAACAGUAGCUAAGGAGAAUCCCAAGGUCAAGGCUGACCCGGGCUCGGCCCCCGCCCCAGGGUCACGGCUUUCAGGGCAGCAGCCCCACACAUACCUUUUGGGUUUGCUGUCCCCUCUCAUUCUCAGGUCAGUCUCUGCCUUCUGCAGCUCCACCUGUGCCUCAGCCACCUGUGCCUUCUUUAUCUCAAUCUGUGAAGAAGCAAACGCUUUCAGGACUGCGUCCAUCCCCACCCAGACUUGUCCUGAGGACUUCCAUCCACAGCUGUUG
rnacentral:lncRNA from 1 species